rnacentral:SRP_RNA from 1 species
UCGGCCUUGUACCGCGCCUUCCUGAAAGAAGUGGUGAUGCGGAAUGUGCGGGUCGCGACUGCGAACGGUUGGCCGCCGAGCGCGCUGUCCGUCGCUGAGGCCGUCGCCGCGCUAGCUUCCGACAUCCAGACCA